ACGUAAAAGAAACUAACUAAUAAAGGAAAUCCCGUAUGCAGUCUUACUACCCAUAUUUUAGGUCCAUUAAAGUGGCCUAUUACAUUAAAAACACAAUGGACCAAAGACCCAACAUGUAUAGAACCCAACCCUAGGCUUAAUCCUUAUAAAACAACCCCAUUUUGGUUAUGUAUCUCAAUUAUCUCUACUUGGUUG